AGAGUUUGAUCAUGGCUCAGAUUGAACGCUGGCGGCAUGCCUUUACACAUGCAAGUCGAACGGCAGCAUGAUCUAGCUUGCUAGAUUGAUGGCGAGUGGCGAACGGGUGAGUAAUACAUCGGAACGUGCCCUGUAGUGGGGGAUAACUAGUCGAAAGGUUAGCUAAUACCGCAUACGACCUGAGGGUGAAAGUGGGGGACCGCAAGGCCUCAUGCUAUAGGAGCGGCCGAUGUCUGAUUAGCUAGUUGGUGAGGUAAAGGCUCACCAAGGCGACGAUCAGUAGCUGGUCUGAGAGGACGAUCAGCCACACUGGGACUGAGACACGGCCCAGACUCCUACGGGAGGCAGCAGUGGGGAAUUUUGGACAAUGGGCGAAAGCCUGAUCCAGCAAUGCCGCGUGUGUGAAGAAGGCCUUCGGGUUGUAAAGCACUUUUGUCCGGAAAGAAAUGGCUCUGGUUAAUACCUGGGGUCGAUGACGGUACCGGAAGAAUAAGGACCGGCUAACUACGUGCCAGCAGCCGCGGUAAUACGUAGGGUCCAAGCGUUAAUCGGAAUUACUGGGCGUAAAGCGUGCGCAGGCGGUUGUGCAAGACCGAUGUGAAAUCCCCGAGCUUAACUUGGGAAUUGCAUUGGUGACUGCACGGCUAGAGUGUGUCAGAGGGGGGUAGAAUUCCACGUGUAGCAGUGAAAUGCGUAGAGAUGUGGAGGAAUACCGAUGGCGAAAGGCAGCCCCCUGGGAUAACACUGACGCUCAUGCACGAAAGCGUGGGGAGCAAACAGGAUUAGAUACCCUGUAGUCCACGCCCUAAACGAUGUCAACUAGUUGUUGGGGAUUCAUUUCCUUAGUAACGUAGCUAACGCGUGAAGUUGACCGCCUGGGGAGUACGGUCGCAAGAUUAAAACUCAAGGAAUUGACGG
rnacentral:rRNA from 1 species